AACGAACGCUGGCGGCAUGCCUAACACAUGCAAGUCGAACGAGACCUUCGGGUCUAGUGGCGCACGGGUGCGUAACGCGUGGGAACCUGCCCUUAGGUUCGGAAUAACUCCCCGAAAGGGGUGCUAAUACCGGAUAAUGUCUUCGGACCAAAGAUUUAUCGCCUUUGGAUGGGCCCGCGUUGGAUUAGCUAGUUGGUAGGGUAAAAGCCUACCAAGGCGACGAUCCAUAGCUGGUCUGAGAGGAUGAUCAGCCACACUGGGAAUGAGACACGGCCCAGACUCCUACGGGAGGAAGCAGUGGGGAAUAGUGGAAAAGGGGCGAAAGCAUGAGCCAGCAAUGCCGCGUGAGUGAUGAAGGCCUUAGGGUUGUAAAGCUCUUUUACCCGGGAUGAUAAUGACAGUACCGGGAGAAUAAGCUACGGCUAACUCCGUG
rnacentral:rRNA from 1 species